rnacentral:rRNA from 1 species
GAUGAACGCUGGCGGCGUGCCUAAUACAUGCAAGUCGAGCGAACGGACGAGAAGCUUGCUUCUCUGAUGUUAGCGGCGGACGGGUGAGUAACACGUGGAUAACCUACCUUUAAGACUGGGAUAACUUCGGGAAACCGGAGCUAAUACCGGAUAAUAUUUUGAACCGCAUGGUUCAAAAGUGAAAGACGGUCUUGCUGUCACUUAUAGAUGGAUCCGCGCUGCAUUAGCUAGUUGGUAAGGUAACGGCUUACCAAGGCAACGAUGCAUAGCCGACCUGAGAGGGUGAUCGGCCACACUGGAACUGAGACACGGUCCAGACUCCUACGGGAGGCAGCAGUAGGGAAUCUUCCGCAAUGGGCGAAAGCCUGACGGAGCAACGCCGCGUGAGUGAUGAAGGUCUUCGGAUCGUAAAACUCUGUUAUUAGGGAGGAACAUAUGUGUAAGUAACUGUGCACAUCUUGACGGUACCUAAUCAGAAAGCCACGGCUAACUACGUG